CGGCGUGCCUAAUACAUGCAAGUCGAGCGGAGCUAGUCUUUUCUUCGGGAAAGAAUGAUGCUUAGCGGCGGACGGGUGAGUAACACGUAGGUAACCUGCCCAUAAGACUGGGAUAACAUUCGGAACGGAUGCUAAUACCAGAUAAUCAAAUUUCUCGCAUGAGAGAUUUGGGAAAGGCGGAGCAAUCUGUCACUUAUGGAUGGACCUGCGGUGCAUUAGCUAGUUGGUGAGGUAACGGCUCACCAAGGCGACGAUGCAUAGCCGACCUGAGAGGGUGAUCGGCCACACUGGGACUGAGACACGGCCCAGACUCCUACGGGAGGCAGCAGUAGGGAAUCUUCCACAAUGGACGAAAGUCUGAUGGAGCAACGCCGCGUGAGUGAUGAAGGCCUUCGGGUCGUAAAGCUCUGUUGCCAGGGAAGAACGCUCAGGAGAGUAACUGCUCCUGAGGUGACGGUACCUGAGAAGAAAGCCCCGGCUAACUACGUG
rnacentral:rRNA from 1 species